AAUAAAUUCAGGAAAGACCACAUCAAUGCUUUUCAAACUCUAGUACCCUGGGUGCUUGUUAAGAAAUCUCUGAGGUCCCGGGAUGGGAAGAGCACAC